UACGUAGGUGGCAAGCGUUUGUCCGGGAAUUAUUGGGCGUUAAAAGCGCGACGCAGGCGGGUCCUUUUAAGUCUGAUGUGAAAAGCCCCACGGCUCAACCGUGGAGGGUCAUUGGAAACUGGGGGGACUUGAGUACAGAAGAGAAAGAGUGGAAUUCCACGUGUAGCGGUGAAAAUGCGUAGAGAUGUGGAGGAACACCAGUGGCGAAGGCGACUCUUUGGUCGUGUAAACUGACGCUGGAGGCGCGAAAAGCGUGGGGAGCAAACAGG
rnacentral:rRNA from 1 species